UACAGAGGGUGCAAGCGUUACUCGGAAUUACUGGGCGUAAAGCGUGCGUAGACGGUUGCGUAAGUCAGAUGUGAAAGCCCCGGGCUCAACCUGGGAAUUGCAUUUGAGACUGCGUAGCUAGGGUGCGGAAGAGGGAAGCGGAAUUUCCGGUGUAGCGGUGAAAUGCGUAGAUAUCGGAAGGAACACCAGUGGCGAAAGCGGCUUCCUGGUCCAGCACCGACGUUCAGGCACGAAAGCGUGGGGAGCAAACAGG
rnacentral:rRNA from 1 species